rnacentral:tmRNA from 3 species
GGGGCUGAUUCUGGAUUCGACGGGAUUUGCGAAACCCAAGGUGCAUGCCGAGGGGCGGUUGGCCUCGUAAAAAGCCGCAAAAAAAUAGUCGCAAACGACGAAAACUACGCUUUAGCAGCUUAAUAACCUGCUUAGAGCCCUCUCUCCCUAGCCUCCGCUCUUAGGACGGGGAUCAAGAGAGGUCAAACCCAAAAGAGAUCGCGCGGAUGCCCUGCCUGGGGUUGAAGCGUUAAAACGAAUCAGGCUAGUCUGGUAGUGGCGUGUCCGUCCGCAGGUGCCAGGCGAAUGUAAAGACAGACUAAGCAUGUAGUACCGAGGAUGUAGAAAUUUCGGACGCGGGUUCAACUCCCGCCAGCUCCACCA